AGUGUGUGUGUGAGUGUGUAUGUGUGUGUGUGUGAACGCGGGAGAGAGAGCGAGAGAAGAGAAGCGAGGGUGGGGGGAAAAGGGAAAGAAGAUUUUCUCUAUGUAUAUAAAGAUGGCCACGUUAGCAAACGGACAAGCAGACAAUACCACCCUGAGUAGCAAUCACACCAACCCCAGCACCAACGGGCACAUGAACGGAUUAACCCACAGUCCCGGAAACCCAGCCACCAUCCCCAUGAAGGACCACGAUGCCAUUAAGCUCUUCAUUGGGCAGAUCCCCCGCAACUUGGACGAGAAGGACCUCAAGCCGCUCUUCGAGGAGUUCGGGAAGAUCUACGAACUGACGGUGCUGAAGGACAGGUUCACUGGCAUGCACAAAGGCUGUGCCUUCCUAACAUACUGUGAAAGGGAGUCUGCCCUGAAGGCCCAGAGCGCGCUGCAUGAACAGAAGACACUGCCAGGGAUGAACAGACCAAUCCAGGUGAAGCCAGCGGACAGCGAAAGCCGAGGAGAAGACAGAAAACUCUUUGUGGGGAUGCUCAAUAAGCAGCAGUCAGAAGACGACGUGCGCAGGCUAUUCGAGGCGUUCGGGAACAUUGAGGAGUGCACGAUCCUCCGGGGACCCGAUGGCAACAGCAAAGGGUGUGCAUUUGUGAAAUACUCCUCGCAUGCAGAGGCCCAAGCAGCCAUCAACGCCUUGCAUGGCAGCCAGACAAUGCCGGGGGCCUCCUCGAGCCUGGUGGUGAAGUUUGCAGACACGGACAAGGAGCGUACAAUGAGGCGCAUGCAGCAAAUGGCAGGACAGAUGGGCAUGUUCAACCCCAUGGCUAUCCAGUUUGGAGCGUACGGCGCCUACGCACAGGCACUGAUGCAGCAGCAGGCGGCGAUCAUGGCAUCCGUGGCACAAGGGGGCUACCUGAAUCCCAUGGCAGCCUUCGCCGCAGCCCAGAUGCAGCAGAUGGCAGCGCUGAACAUGAACGGCCUGGCUGCUGCUCCCAUGACGCCAACCUCAGGUGGGAGCACACCUCCUGGCAUCACUGCACCGGCUGUGCCUAGCAUCCCGUCCCCAAUUGGGGUGAAUGGUUUCACAGGCCUCCCACCGCAGGCUAAUGGGCAGCCCACCGCAGAAGCUGUGUUCGCUAAUGGCAUCCACCCUUACCCAGCACAGAGCCCGACUGCAGCAGACCCCUUGCAACAAGCCUACGCUGGAGUGCAGCAGUACGCAGGUCCUGCUUAUCCUGCUGCUUAUGGCCAGAUUAGCCAAGCGUUUCCACAGCCGCCUCCCAUGAUCCCACAGCAACAGAGAGAAGGACCAGAGGGCUGUAACCUGUUUAUCUACCAUCUGCCCCAGGAGUUUGGGGAUGCCGAGCUGAUGCAGAUGUUCCUGCCUUUCGGUAAUGUCAUCUCCUCGAAAGUGUUUGUGGAUCGGGCGACAAACCAAAGUAAAUGCUUUGGGUUUGUGAGUUUUGACAACCCCGCCAGUGCCCAGGCUGCCAUCCAGGCUAUGAAUGGUUUCCAGAUUGGCAUGAAGAGGCUGAAGGUGCAGCUGAAGAGGCCGAAGGAUGCUAACCGCCCCUACUGAAGAGUUGUGGGAACCGCUGGAUACACAUGACUAGCACAGAGCCAGUCAAAUCCACCACAGUCUCGAGCUGAGCUAGGAAAAAAGUUCACGUAAUGACAUGAAAGUGGAGAAUACAGUCCCCCAGUCCGGCAGCAGCUGAAUGGGCCACAUUUAGAAAAAUAUAUAUAUAUAUAUUUUAAAAAAACAGGAACUGUUGGAUUACACCUUUGACAUAUCAGCAAAUAUCAAUCAAGCUGAAGACUUCAGACUUAUUCUCUCUUUGAUUGUUUAGACUGUAACAUUUCUUCAAGAAAAGUAUCACGUCUGCUGACUUCGAAGGACACGGGCUGGAAACAAACAAAAAUUAAUAAAUAAAUCAGAACAGGAACAAGAUCAACCAGGAUUUCUGAAGAGACAUUGAUAUCACCACAGCGGCUUUUCUCCAAACAGGAAAUGCAAACCUGGAUACGGACAAAGGAGUGCCUGUUUGCCACCAAGGAUGCGGCUACCAUGUUGACCCCAUGGUAAUGGUCACUGAGCAUCUUUAUCUGUCAUUCCUUAGCUAUAUAGGGACCAAAGGACAAAACUUUUUAUCGCAGACUUGUAGCUGUAUGUAAAAUAUGGAAGUUCUUUGCUUUUCUCUGAGCUGUUCCUAAAACAGUUUUUGAGAGCAAUUAUAUGAAAUAUGUAAAAAUUAAAAAAAAAUGCUUAAAUGCUUUUAAAAUGGCAAGAUAAUAGUUCUUUGAUACUUUGGGAGGUUCUUUGGUUAUACAUUAAUUAGAGUCUAUGAAACUUUCAUAUGGUUUUCUGUAUAAUACGUAAGGAUCGCGCUGCUCAAAGCAGGUAAGAUGAUGUCUGUGAAAAGCAAAAAAAAAAAGUAAAGUAAA